rnacentral:rRNA from 1 species
UGGGGAAUCUUCCGCAAUGGACGAAAGUCUGACGGAGCAACGCCGCGUGAGUGAAGACGGCCUUCGGGUUGUAAAGCUCUGUGAUCCGGGACGAAAGAGCCUGAGGUGAAUAGCCUAAGGAAGUGACGGUACCGGAAAAGCAAGCCACGGCUAACUACGUGCCAGCAGCCGCGGUAAUACGUAGGUGGCAAGCGUUGUCCGGAAUUAUUGGGCGUAAAGCGCGCGCAGGCGGCUUCCUAAGUCCAUCUUAAAAGUGCGGGGCUUAACCCCGUGAUGGGAUGGAAACUGGGAAGCUGGAGUAUCGGAGAGGAAAGUGGAAUUCCUAGUGUAGCGGUGAAAAGCGUAGAGAUUAGGAAGAACACCGGUGGCGAAGGCGACUUUCUGGACGAAAACUGACGCUGAGGCGCGAAAGCGUGGGGAGCAAACAGG